CAGCCGCCACGGUAACACAUAGGGCGCAAGCGUUACCCGGAUUUACUGGGCGUAAAGGGCGUGUAGGCGGCCUGGGGCGUCCCAUGUGAAAGGCCACGGCUCAACCGUGGAGGAGCGUGGGAUACGCUCAGGCUAGAGGGUGGGAGAGGGUGGUGGAAUUCCCGGAGUAGCGGUGAAAUGCGCAGAUACCGGGAGGAACGCCGAUGGCGAAGGCAGCCACCUGGUCCACUUCUGACGCUGAGGCGCGAAAGCGUGGGGAGCAAACCGGAUUAGAGAUCCCCGUAGUCCCUGUCUCUUAUAC
rnacentral:rRNA from 1 species